rnacentral:rRNA from 1 species
AGCUUGCUCCUGGAUUAGUGGCGAACGGGUGAGUAACACGUGAGUAACCUGCCCUUAACUCUGGGAUAAGCCUGGGAAACUGGGUCUAAUACCGGAUAUGACUCCUCAUCGCAUGGUGGGGGGUGGAAAGCUUUAUUGUGGUUUUGGAUGGACUCGCGGCCUAUCAGCUUGUUGGUGAGGUAAUGGCUUACCAAGGCGACAACGGGUAGCCGGCCUGAAAGGGUGACCGGCCACACUGGGACUGAAACACGGCCCAAACUCCUACGGGAGGCAGCAGUGGGGAAUAUUGCACAAUGGGCGAAAGCCUGAUGCACCGACCCCGCGUGAGGGAUGACGGCCUUCGGGUUGUAAACCUCUUUCAGUAGGGAAAAAGCGAAAGUGACGGUACCUGCAAAAAAAGCGCCGGCUAACUACGUGCCACCAGCCGCGGUAAUACGUAGGGCGCAAGCGUUAUCCGGAAUUAUUGGGCGUAAAGAGCUCGUAGGCGGUUUGUCGCGUCUGCCGUGAAAGUCCGGGGCUCAACUCCGGAUCUGCGGUGGGUACGGGCAAACUAAAGUGAUGUAGGGAAGACUGGAAUUCCUGGUGUAGCGGUGAAAUGCGCAAAUAUCAGGAGGAACACCGAUGGCGAAGGCAGGUCUCUGGGCAUUAACUGACGCUGAGGAGCGAAAGCAUGGGGAGCGAACAGGAUUAGAUACCUUGGUAGUCCAUGCCGUAAACGUUGGGCACUAGGUGUGGGGGACAUUCCACGUUUUCCGCGCCGUA